rnacentral:other from 3 species
GAAUUCCUGCUGUGUACGUAGAAUGAGUUGAUGUUGACCGAACAUUUUAUAGAAGGGAAUUUAACUCUUCUUGUGGAAUGAAACCUGAUUUAUUUCGGGCACAAGAAGCAAGAAGGAGAUGCCCACCUGCUGGGAGCGGGUUCAAAGUAACUCACGAUACGGCAUGGUGGGAUUUUA